GCAGCAGUGGUUCAGUGGUAGAAUUCUCGCCUUCCAUGCAAGAGACCUGGAUUCGAUUCCCAGCCACAACA
rnacentral:tRNA from 1 species